GACGAACGCUGGCGGCGUGCCUAAUACAUGCAAGUUGAGCGCUGAAGGUUGGUACUUGUACCAACUGGAUGAGCAGCGAACGGGUGAGUAACGCGUGGGGAAUCUGCCUUUGAGCGGGGGACAACAUUUGGAAACGAAUGCUAAUACCGCAUAAAAACUUUAAACACAAGUUUUAAGUUUGAAAGAUGCAAUUGCAUCACUUAAAGAUGAUCCCGCGUUGUAUUAGCUAGUUGGUGAGGUAAAGGCUCACCAAGGCGAUGAUACAUAGCCGACCUGAGAGGGUGAUCGGCCACAUUGGGACUGGGACACGGCCCAAAAUCCUACGGGAGGCAGCAGUAGGGAAUCUUCGGCAAUGGACGAAAGUCUGACCGAGCAACGCCGCGGGAGUGAAGAAGGUUUUCGGAUCGUAAAACUCUGUUGGUAGAGAAGAACGUUGGUGAGAGUGGAAAGCUCAUCAAGUGACGGUAACUACCCAGAAAGGGACGGCUAACUACGUG
rnacentral:rRNA from 1 species